GAUGAAGAACGUAGCGAAAUGCGAUAAGUAAUGUGAAUUGCAGAAUUCAGUGAAUCAUCGAAUCUUUGAACACACAUUGCGCCCCUUGGUAUUCCAUGGGGCAUGCCUGUUCGAGCGUCAUUUGUACCUUCAAGCUUUGCUUGGUGUUGGGUGUUUGUCUCGCCUUUGCGUGUAGACUCGCCUUAAAAUAAUUGGCAGCCGGCGUAUUGAUUUCGGAGCGCAGUACAUCUCGCGCUUUGCACUCAUAACGACAGCGUCCAAAAGUACAUUUUACACUCUUGACCUCGGAUCAGGUAGGGAUACCCGCUGAACUUAAGCAUAUCAAUAAGCGGAGGA
rnacentral:misc_RNA from 1 species